rnacentral:rRNA from 1 species
UACAGAGGGGGCAAGCGUUGUUCGGAAUUACUGGGCGUAAAGGGCGCGUAGGCGGCCUUCUAAGUCGAACGUGAAAUCCCCGGCUCAACCCGGGAACUGCGUCCGAUACUGGAAGGCUUGAAUCCGGGAGAGGGAUGCGGAAUUCCAGGUGUAGCGGUGAAAUGCGUAGAUAUCUGGAGGAACACCGGUGGCGAAGGCGGCAUCCUGGACCGGCAUUGACGCUGAGGCGCGAAAGCCAGGGAGCAAAGCGGG